AACGAACGCUGGCGGCAGGCUUAACACAUGCAAGUCGAACGCAUCGCAAGAUGAGUGGCAGACGGGUGAGUAACGCGUGGGAACAUACCCUUUACUACGUAAUAGCUCUGGGAAACUGGAAUUAAUACAGUAUACGCCCUACGGGGGAAAGAUUUAUCGGGGAAGGAUUGGCCCGCGUUGGCUUAGCUAGUUGGUGGGGUAAAGGCCUACUAAGGCGACGAUCCAUAGCUGGUCUGAGAGGAUGAUCAGCCACAUUGGGACUGAGACACGGCCCAAACUCCUACGGGAGGCAGCAGUGGGGAAUAUUGGACAAUGGGCGCAAGCCUGAUCCAGCCAUGCCGCGUGAGUGAUGAAGGCCUUAGGGUUGUAAAGCUCUUUCACCGAUGAAGAUAAUGACGGUAGUCGGAGAAGAAGCCCCGGCUAACUUCGUGCCAGCCGCCGCAGUAAUAC
rnacentral:rRNA from 1 species